UCUGUAUACAGUUGUACUUAAAACACUUUAUUUAAACCUGGUUCCUUUGUCCAGCUAACGGUAUCUAAAAAUUAUUAUACAAAUACUGUAAAAGGUACCUAUUACAUGAUUCAACACAGUAGAAAAUGUUAACUUACUUGACUAAAUGUGACGAAUAGUUCAAGAUCGAUCAAUAUAUCCUUAUGAUAUCUUAGUGUUCACCUUAUAGUGUAUAACAACGAACUAACAGAAAAACUCCGACUUCGCACGGCUUGCAUUUUAUACCUGGUCAAGCGUGCAUUUGCACUUACCAUAAAUUAUAAUAUAAAAAUAAAUUAGCUCUCGCAUCUACACACCGGCCCCCUAAAUGCGGAGAUAUAUUCGAAGUAUUUUCAUAAAAAUCCUGAUGUGAGAGCACACACAACAAUUAUAAUACAAUCAAUGAAAUCAUAAAUAUGGUAUUUCUGGAGUUUAUACUGAUUCUAACAAACAUAAUUUGCUAAUUGGACGUUCAAGAAUCGCCGUACUUGUCUUGACAGCAACACGACGUACAAACCCUUUCUUAUCGGGAAAUACUUGCGUAAUGCGUCCCAAUGGCCACGUAUUGCGGGGGGAAGACUGGUCAACAACCAACACUACAUCAUUAACAGCAAAGUUUCUUCGAGGGUAGCUCCACUUCUGUCGUUCUUGUAACCGAGGCAGGUACUCGCGUAUCCAUCGUUUCCAAAAGAGAUCUGCCAUAUACUGAAUUUGUCUCCAUCGUUUUCUUGAGUAUAAAUCAUCCUUGUUGAAUAAACCAGGUGGAAGAGAAGGUUGACCGCGGAGAAGGAGCAAAUGGUUUGGAGUCAAGGGUUCCAUAUCUUUCGGAUCACUUGAUACUACUGUUAGCGGUCUACUGUUUACAAUCGCUUCAACUUCGCAUAUAAGAGUAGCUAAAGCUUCGUCAUUUAGAGUCUGCUGCUUAACCAACGCUCGCAAGACUUUCCUCACAGUUCUUAUACACCGUUCCCAAACUCCUCCGUGAUGUGAUCCGGUGGGUGGGUUAAAGGUCCACUUGAUCUCUCGUUGGAGUAAAAAAUUGUGAAUCUGCUUCUGAUUCCAUUCUCGAAUUGACUGUCGUAUUUCUUUUUCACCACUAACCAGAUUCGUACCAUUGUCCGAGCGGAUCUCUUUCACUUGAACUCUGCGGGAAAUAAAUCUUCUCAAUGCCAUAAUGAAGGAGUCGGUAUUCAAAGUUGCUGCAAUCUCUAAAUGUAUAGCUCUGACUGUGAGGCAAGUAAAGAUGACACCAUAUCGUUUGACCAUACUUCUUUUCUCACAAACCAAGAAGGGUCCAAAGUAGUCUACUCCAACACAGGUAAAAGGCGGUGCACUAGGGUUUACUCGAUCAUGCGGAAGGUCUGCCAUCUUCUGCUCUCCUACUUUCGCUUGACGUCGUCUACAACUGAAACAUUUUGCCAAAACUCUUCUUACGGUAGAAUUGCCAUGAAUUAUCCAAUAACGCUCACGUAAGACAGCUAGAAUGUGUUCUCUCCCCGAAU